UUAAAAAUAAUUGUAAAGCAUUUUUAUAUUUUUUACCUAACUCAUUUUUCAUAUUAGAUAGUAAUUGUAAAAUAAUUAAAUAAUAAAUAGAAAUUAAAUUAAAUUAAAUUAUCAUAAUAAAUUUUAAUUAUACAACAUAAAAGUAGAAAUAGUAUACAAAUUUAGUAGGUUGAGUUUUGACAAGAUUUUCAAUUAAAUCUUAAAUAUUAAACUAAAUAAUUAUUUUUUAUAGAUUGUAUUUAUUUAUAUAUUAUUACAAAAUAAAUAUAAUAAGUAUCAUAUCUAGACUCUAUUCUUCUAUAAAAAUCAUUGAGUUUGGGAGAAAUUUUUAACUAAUCAUAAUAUUUUUAUUUUUAUUAUAAUACUAAAUUAAUAUUAUAAAAAUAUUUUUAAUAUAUUGUUAACUAUUAUAUGAUAAUAAUAAAACUAAUAUUAAUCAUUUAUUAUUAAUUGAGUUUUAGUUCAAUUAGUAUUAGCAUUGUUGUUAGUAUAAGAUGACGUGAGUUCGAAUGCGUUGAAACGCUUUUAUCAUUAUAUAAAAAUAUUAAUUAUUGUAAUAAUUAAUCUUUUUUAAUUUUAUCAUCACAUUGAACAAACAAUAAUAUUAAUCAAACAAAUUGUUUAAUUAAACACUUUUUUGAUAAAAAUAAAGAGGAUUUAAAAAAACUUUGACAUAACCAAACUUAAAAACAUCGAUAUGAUUAUACGAUAGCAUUCAAUCUCAUUGCAACAUGCCCAGCGUGACAUAAACAAAUCCAUGUUCCUACCAAUCUUCUCAUCUUGGCCAUAAAGUCAGUGCACUUAUUAUGAUUCCAUUGUAUGUGUGAAAACCUUAGCUGCCAUCCUCUAUUACAGAGAGAUUGAAUGUUAUCAAUAUGAGUGCCAUCGGUAUGUCCCUCGCUAAUGAGUUUAACUAGUAGAGAGCACUGUAACUUUCAAUCUUGAUUGAGUAAUCAUUUUUCAAAGUUACAAUUUUGCUUUACCAUGGUUUCACGUUUACAACUACAAAAAGGUGGUUAUACCCUUUUCAUUUUCCGGUCAGAUUUCGAUAUCUCAAGUUUUAAAACAAAAAUCAUGUGAAUUUCUAUAUUGACGUCAUAUGUUGAGGUUGAUUAAUAGUUUUUGAAAGUAUCUAAUAAGUUCUAUUUUAAAGAUGGUUUCUGUAACAUCCUGAUUUUGGGCCUAGUCGGAACAGUGGUUUCGGGACCACAAAUCCGAUGAAAAAAAAUUAUUUUUCUUAUAUUUUUAUGGUCUACGAUUUCACAGAAUGAUUUUGUGAAAAUUUUGUUCAAAAAUUUCGACGUUUGGGCACUCAAUUUAGUCAAAAGGACUAAAUUGUAAAAAGUGCAAAAGUUGAGUUCUACAUGUUAGAGGUGUCCAAUUGUUAUAAAACUUUAAAUUGGAGGGUCUUAUAUUGUAAUUAGACCAUUUAUUAAGUUGGUACACAAAAAUGGACAUGAGAUAAGUGAAAUAGGAAAUUUUUAAGUUAAGGACAAUUUGGUAAUUUAGUAAUAAAAAUAAUUAAAAAAGGGAAAAAGAUGGCAAAAUGUGUUCAUUUUCUUCAUGGUGAACGAAAAUAGCAAGGGGGAGUCAUAGUUAGGGUUUUCAAGCUUUCAAGCUCCAUAAUUAGUGAUUCCAAGCCCCUUUUUUAAUGUUCUUUACGUUUUUGUAGUCCCGAUAACUUGAUUUAGCUUAUUCUAGCAAUAAUUUAACCUAGGGUUUAUAUUUGGAAAAAUACUUAUGGGUGAAAUGUGUUUAUUUUGAUGUUUUAUGGUAGAAUAUGAAGCUUAAAGUUAUGUUAACCAACUUUUGCUAAGUGAUUUUAAGUGAAAACGAGUAAAACGACAUAAUCGGUAAAAAUACUUAAUGUGCAUAAGUGCAUGCUAGAGUGGAAAUUUCAUGUUGUCAUAGAAGGCAAAAAUGUUCAGCGUAUCAUAAAACAUAAGAAUAAGAGAUGAAGUUUAAUUUCCGAGCUUUGGGGUAAAAGUAUAAUUAUGCAAAAGUUUAGGGACAAAAUCAUAAUUUUUCCAAAGUUUGAGUCAAGGAUUGUUUUGAUGAAUGUGAGUAUUAAAUAAUCUAAAUUUUCUAUUAUAGAUCAAGAAGAACGAAAUUAGGAGUUAGACCGGGGAAAGAAAAAGAUAGAGGACUAAGUUGCUAGAUUUGGUCAAAUUUUGUACCGAAGUACGUUUACAGUAAAUAAAUACAAUAUUUCAAUAAUUAUUAUUAAUGCUGCUAUUUUCCAGCAAUUAUAUAUUUAUUUUAUGAAAUUAUUUAAUGUUGACUCAAGUAUGAGAUGAUAGAGAAUUAGUAUUAAAAAGUCUCGUUGAAAUAUUAGGAAUGUAUCGGAUACAAAUGUCAUGACAUUUGGGUGAUGAGAUCCCAUGUAAGACCAUGUCUGGGACAUGGCGUUGGCACUGAGAUGAGAGGUCCCCCGUAAGACCAUAUCUAGGACAUGGCAUGAGCACCGAUAUGAGAACUCCCAUGUAAGACCAUAUCUGGGAUAUGGGAUUGGCAGUAUAGGAAACAUCCCAUGUAAGAAUAUGUCUGGGACAUAGCUUUGGCAUGUUAUAUUCAGACAAGAGACCCGAGUAUCCUUAGUAUUCCAAGUGAUUCAACGGGCUAGAAAAUGAAUUAAGUUACAUGAAAGUUCAAGCAAAAGCAUGAUAACUAGAUUCAGGUGAGUUAUAAAGGAUUGAAAAUAUCUCAGUUGUCAGUUGAGAAAAAGAAUUUCAGUAAGUGAAGAGUAAGUUAUAAUCGUGAGUUAUUUAAGCAAGCAAGUAAGUAAACAAGUAAGUGAGUAAGUAAAGAAGAAAGUAAAGAUCCUAGUGCUUGAUGAAAAUUUAUGAGUAUGAUGGUUUAUGAUAAAUGUUGUUAUUUAUUUACUUGUAAACUUACUAAGCUUUAUGCUUACUUCUUUUAUUUCUUUUUCUUUCAUAUAGUAUUAUCAAGCAUAGUCGGGAUCUUGAAGACAUCGGAGAGCAUUCACACUAUCAACCACCACAACUCGGUAUUUUAAGACGAUAAAUGUUUCGAGCUAUGGCAUGUAUAGGGACUUAGUCAUUUCGAUUGUAUAUUCUUAAAUUAUGACCAAAAGAUGAUAUGUAAAUAUUUGAUGACGAAUAGUUAUUAAAAUGGCUAAGUAUGAAGGUGUUUGUUGUUAUAAAAGUCUAGGUGAUAAAUUAUGUCUAGAAAUCAUGAAAAAGUAAAAAUUGGUAGUGAAUCAGUUUUGAGACAGCAGUAGUGACGUAUUUUAAAAAAUCACCAAGGAUGGUAGAAAAUGAAUUAGAGGGUGGAUGAGAUAUAGAAUUAAAGCUUAUUGAGUCUAUUUUCAUAGAAAAACAACAGUGUAGACAAAGGAAUUAUGUAUUCUGAGAUAUUUGCAUUUUAGUUAGACAAGGUCAAAGUGGUUUUCAGAAUCCCUUAUUCUAACUUUGAAAAAUCAUUAAAAAUUGUAAAAAAAAAUAUUUAUGAGUUGUAAUUUAUAUUUCUAGAUUCCUUAUUGAGUCUAUUUUCUGUAGAAAUAAGUGAGAACACCAUAUGAAGUCUGUAAAAUGAGAUAAUUAAAUUUUAGUGACAAGAGGUCAGGAUAGUCGAUUAGUGAAACAGGGGAGACUUUAAUUAAUAAAAUGUACUAAUUGGCUGAACCAAAAAUUCUGAAAAUUUUAUGGUAAAAUGAUAUAUGAGUCUAGUUUCAGGGAAAAUUUAUGGAUCUAAAUUUUGAGUUUUUAGCUCUAGUUAUAAUUAAUUUAGUAACUGCUGCGCAGGUGGACAGAUUUGUCGUGAAUAGUGAAAUUAAUUUCAAAAGUAAAAUUUUAUAUCUCGAACUUUUAAGUUAAGUCAAGUAAAGCCUCAUGUUCGAAUCCGACAACGGUCUCGGGUAAGAGGUGUUACAGUUUCAAAUUAAUUUUUACACUUUUAAACCGAUCAGUUUAAUUUAUGUACUAAUAAAUAAAAUUAAAUAAAACCUAAGUGUAAAAAAGUCAAAUUUUAUCAUUUAAAAAUAUUUUUUAUAAGAUUUGUUUAUUUAUCUAAUAAAGCAAUAAAAUUGCCAAAAAAAAAAACUUCCAGUACAAUGCUUGUUACAAAGAAAUGAAAAUUUGUAAUUAGUAGCCAAGUUUACCAACCUCUUAGGAUACUCCAAGCUGCACAAAGUUGAAUAUUUACAUUAUUAAUUAGAUGAAAGCUUUCAAGGUAAGUGUAUGAUAGAGGCUUUGUAUUAGGAGUUGGAUUGCAUUUUGUCCCCUCUACUCAAAAAAUGGGCAAAUUAGCCCCUAUACAUUGAUCAAAUAGCAAACUGGUCCUCCUGUUAAAAUUUUAUCUAUUUUACUGUUAAAAACUGAUCAUUGUAACAUGAGGUACACGUGGCACUUCAUGUGUCACUGUUUGGUUAUUCCAUCAGCCACGUCAGUUUUUAACAGUACAAAUGGAUGAAAUUUUUAAUAGAAAGGACUGAUUGGCUCUAUGAUUUAAUGUAUAGGGACUAAUUUGCUCAUUUUUUAAUAGAGGGGGCAAAAUGCAAUUUAACUCUUAGUACUGGGACCUUCAUGGUACUUUUACCAAGAUGUAAACAAUAAGAGCCUUACCCUUGAGUCUCGUGCAAAGCCGUUGAAGUUCUUGUUGCCAUUCCAUAACAUCUCUCUAAAUAUUACAUUGUCCCAAAACACUGCCUUAUACAGAUUUAGCAAACACACAAACAACAAAUAGAUGAUCCUUUGUUUCAUGGUUUCCUUGGCAUAGUAGACAAUGACCCUCUAUGCUCAUCUCUCUUUAAUAAGCCUGUCAUUUGUGGAAAAUUUAUUCAUAAUAGCCAUCAAAGUUAGAGAAAAGAUUGUUCUGGUAUAAGAAGUAGAUACCAAACAACCUUAUGCCACAUAACUUUUUCUUCACUCUUUUUUAAUUUCAUUUUAAAAUGCAGUAACAGUUAACUAGUUGUCCCUUACUCCCAAAUUAGAUAACAUGGGUGCAGCUUCUUGGCCAAUGUCUGUAGAGCGUUCUUGGCUACCAAAGGAUGCAGGGGACGUGAAAACAGUUGGAUUGAUUGAUGUUAUGAGUGGGAUUGAGAAGAUGAAUUAUCGGAUUCCACUGUUAGUUUGGUUUUUCCUUUUCCGAAUCUUAUUAAGAUUUAACAACAUUGUACUCGGGCACAUAUGUAUGGUUGAUAUGUAGGCUUGGACCCUUUGGAACUGAAGUUACUAGGGUGCUUGGCAGUGGCCUUGUUCCUGGUUUAUUGGUUAUGAUUGGUGGUGAUCCUGGCGUCGGAAAGAGUACCCUACUGUUGCAGGUAGAAGUUUGCAGCAUUUAAGAGCCAGUGUUCGUGCUUUUCUUUGUUAUCUUGUUCUGGAAAUUUUUCUUUUUGAAAAAGGAAACUCUUCUGUCGUCAACUCAUAUGAUCUGCUCAUUCGUUUGUUGGAAAUGGCCGCUUAUUAUAAUAUUGAGUUCACAUCUUACUUGAAAGACGGCGGCACUAAUUGCUGACGGACAUGACUCAGAUCGACCUGCUUCUGUUGUAUGUGUCUCUGGCGAAGAGGUACGGAGGAUGGACAAAAGAGUCAGUACAGCUGCGAAACUGGGAUAUAAGGACUGUAUUGUGCCAAUGUCAGCUGGGCAACUCUUGAUUUGGGGAACUGGUGAUUAUUGGCUGCAAUCAUCAAUAAAUAGUGAAAAACACAGGAACAUCAUUGGUCUGAAAAAAACAUGCAUCAUAUCAUCAUCAUCUGUAUGUAUGUAUAUAGUCCUCCAAGAACAGAAAGGAUGAAGGGCCUUUUUCUUUAUCUAACCGUGGAUUGUGUAGUAUAUAAAAUGGCUCUUGUUAUGUUUCCCAUCA